AAGGAAUAUUGGUCAAUGGACGAAAGUCUGAACCAGCCAUGCCGCGUGAAGGAUGAAGGCCCUCUGGGUUGUAAACUUCUUUUAUCUGGGACGAAAAAAGGGGAUUCUUCCUCACUUGACGGUACCAGAGGAAUAAGCACCGGCUAACUCCGUGCCAGCAGCCGCGGUAAUACGGAGGGUGCAAGCGUUAUCCGGAUUCACUGGGUUUAAAGGGUGCGUAGGUGGGUCUGUAAGUCAGUGGUGAAAUCUCCAAGCUUAACUUGGAAACUGCCAUUGAUACUAUAGGUCUUGAAUUAUCUGGAGGUGAGCGGAAUAUGUCAUGUAGCGGUGAAAUGCUUAGAUAUGACAUAGAACACCCAUUGCGAAGGCAGCUCACUACGGAUAUAUUGACACUGAGGCACGAAAGCGUGGGGAUCAAAC
rnacentral:rRNA from 1 species